UUUACAGAGAGAGACUCACUCCUGUGAGGCUGGGUUCAUGCUGUUCCAUGGGCAUCUUCGGUUCACAGACACAACAUUCAUUCUAAGGCACCUUUUACAGGACAAAAUUCUCGCCUUUCCUAAAUUGGCGCUAAUAGACACCUAGAGGAAUUAGUUUUUGCUGACUAGGAGAAUUAGCUCUCUUCAGUCAAAGUAUCCUUCAACCGAAGGAUGUUUCUGCCUUUGCUCCCCGCUGUUAUAGUCACAGCUGCGCUAAAGGGCAUCUAUGGAGCAGACUCAGUGACCCAAACUGAAGGCAGCGUUAUCACCCGCCAAGGGGAUCCGGUGCGUCUGAACUGCACCUAUCAGAUUUCUGGGUUUCCUUACCCCUUCUGGUACGUGCAGUUCCCCAGCCAGCACCCCCGGCUGUUCCUGAGGGACCUGGGACGCGAGGACUCGGAUGAAGGGAUCAGUAAAGGGUUCAAUGCCACCCACGAUAAAAAGAACAAAUCCUUCCACCUGUGGAAACCGGCCAGCGACCUGAGCGACUCCGGGACCUAUUACUGCGCCGCGAGCGACACAGUGACACGGGCCGGCAGGGGCGCUGAGCAAAAACUGCGCAGGGAACGUUUUACUCCAUCUAUGACAACACCCUGAAUCCCAAGCUCUGGUGGUACGAGCUGUACCCAAAUGAAGCCCCUCACCUCUUGCUGACACAAUAUGAAGCACUGGAUAAGGAAGAGAGAAAGAUCAGGCGAGGGUUCUCCGCCACACCCAAUGAACAGGAGAGCUUCCACCUGAAAAAAAACUCCAGUGAACUGAGCAACUCUGCCAUCUACUACUGUGGCAUGAGUGACACAGUGAUU